ACGAUCGAGAGAGGGAGAGAGACAGGAAGAAUCAAAACCCUAACAAUGUAAAAUCCAUCAAAUUGAAAGGGAAAUUGAAGGCUAAUUGAAUGCAUGAACUAGGAAUGUCGAUCACUUAAGUAUCUCCAACAUCAAGGUCGAAGAAAGGAGGGAAAUCAAACCAAGCAAAGGCAAUAAGAGCGCACGACUCCGGUAAAUCCCAUGUUUGAUAGCAAGCUUCAAUCGAACACACCACACCUCGUGCCCUUUUUGCGCUUCCGGUUAAAGUCGUCUUUUGUAAAUGGGUUAAAACACUUUCAUAAUGUAAAUGUUAAACUUAUGUUUAGGAUGUUUCGUAAGCAAGUUAGGAUUUUAAAUUUUAUGUUGGUAGU